CGGCAGCGGGUCCUUCGGGAUGCCGGCGAGCGGCGGACGGGUGAGUAAUGCCUAGGAAUCUGCCUGGUAGUGGGGGAUAACGUUCGGAAACGGACGCUAAUACCGCAUACGUCCUACGGGAGAAAGUGGGGGAUCUUCGGACCUCACGCUAUCAGAUGAGCCUAGGUCGGAUUAGCUAGUUGGUGAGGUAAUGGCUCACCAAGGCGACGAUCCGUAACUGGUCUGAGAGGAUGAUCAGUCACACUGGAACUGAGACACGGUCCAGACUCCUACGGGAGGCAGCAGUGGGGAAUAUUGGACAAUGGGCGAAAGCCUGAUCCAGCCAUGCCGCGUGUGUGAAGAAGGUCUUCGGAUUGUAAAGCACUUUAAGUUGGGAGGAAGGGCAGUCGACUAAUACCUGGUUGUUU
rnacentral:rRNA from 1 species